AAUGGAUUAAGAGCUUGCUCUUAUGAAGUUAGCGGCGGACGGGUGAGUAACACGUGGGUAACCUGCCCAUAAGACUGGGAUAACUCCGGGAAACCGGGGCUAAUACCGGAUAACAUUUUGAACCGCAUGGUUCGAAAUUGAAAGGCGGCUUCGGCUGUCACUUAUGGAUGGACCCGCGUCGCAUUAGCUAGUUGGUGAGGUAACGGCUCACCAAGGCAACGAUGCGUAGCCGACCUGAGAGGGUGAUCGGCCACACUGGGACUGAGACACGGCCCAGACUCCUACGGGAGGCAGCAGUAGGGAAUCUUCCGCAAUGGACGAAAGUCUGACGGAGCAACGCCGCGUGAGUGAUGAAGGCUUUCGGGUCGUAAAACUCUGUUGUUAGGGAAGAACAAGUGCUAGUUGAAUAAGCUGGCACCUUGACGGUACCUAACCAGAAAGCCACGGCUAACUACGUGCCAGCAGCCGCGGUAAUACGUAGGUGGCAAGCGUUAUCCGGAAUUAUUGGGCGUAAAGCGCGCGCAGGUGGUUUCUUAAGUCUGAUGUGAAAGCCCACGGCUCAACCGUGGAGGGUCAUUGGAAACUGGGAGACUUGAGUGCAGAAGAGGAAAGUGGAAUUCCAUGUGUAGCGGUGAAAUGCGUAGAGAUAUGGAGGAACACCAGUGGCGAAGGCGACUUUCUGGUCUGUAACUGACACUGAGGCG
rnacentral:rRNA from 1 species